CUUUGUACACACCGCCCGUCGCUCCUACCGAUUGGAUGUGCUGGUGAAGCGUUCGGAUUGGCGUCAUGCGGUGGCAACGCCGUGCGUCGCCGAAAAGUUCGUUAAACCCUCCCAUCUAGAGGAAGGAGAAGUCGUAACAAGGUCUCCGUAGGUGAACCUGCGGAGGGAUCAUUG
rnacentral:rRNA from 1 species